AACAGAAAACAUCUUGCAAGCAAGGAGAAAAGAUCAGUCUCCCUACUUCAAGAUAGUUCUAAUAACAUGAAACCACCUUUCUGAACUCAGUAUUUUGCAUAAAGUAUCUUUACUUAUCAGUUGAUUUGUUAUUGACCUUUGUUGGACCAUAACUCUCAUUGUCUCUAUUAAUCAUGCUUAGCAAGGUUGAGGGAAGCUGGAGUACAGCAACCAGUAGGCGGGCACAGGUUCGCUAUCCUUGAGGAGAGAAAUUUCCAAUUUCCAGCUGCAGAAAGAAGCAUUAUUUCUUCAUGUGAGGAGAAAAAUUGCAUCCAUAGCUUUGAAGGACUGCAAAUAGCUUUCCAUGGGAGUGUUCUUGACAGCAGCAGUCUGAUUGCUAAUCAAGAUCUUUCAGAAAACUAUUUUGGAGGUUGUUCAGAAUGUAGCAUAGCUCCCUGGAGAAUGAUCUGCUUUAGGAAGGCCUAAAUUUUCUUUUCAGAACUAUAUUACAUUGGGGAACACAGAGGAGAAUUGCCGAAAGUUUCCGAAGGGACUAAUGAUUUUUUCCUGGCUAAAAUUACAGAGCUACUGAUGACAGAAGAGAGUUAUUAUGUUAAAGAGUAGGUACUUCUUGAAGAAAGACUGAGUGAGCUGACAACUGAUUUCCUGAGAGCUGGCAGAAGAAGCCCGGUGAGUUACCUGUCAUCAGUAAGCUAAUAAUACGAAGGUUAUCUCUCAUUUUAAUCACAUCUGAAGAAAGCAAAGGAAAUCCUAAACUAGCAAUGAUGAGGGAUAAUACAUCAAGGAAGAAUUUGGAACACAAUCCAGUGUUAGCUAUCCCUCCCAGUUUGGUGUCAUCUGCAAACUUGAUCGUGCCUUCUAACCCUUCGUCUAAGUUGUUAAUAAAGAUGUUGAACAGAACUGGGCCCAGGACGGAACCCUGCAGCACUCCACUCGUGACUUCUUUCCAAGAUGAAGACGACACAUUGGUGAGCACCCUUUGGGUUCGUUGGCUUAGCUAAUUACAGAUCCACCUAACCGUAGUUUUGCCUAGCCCACAUUUGACUGGCUUGUUUACCAGAAGGUCAUGGAUGGGUUUAUUUCUUUGUGAU
rnacentral:lncRNA from 1 species